GCUCAUAGUUUAGAAUCUAAUUUAAUAUUUUGAUAUAUAUGUUGCGAUAAACGAAAUUCUAGAGCCAAUUGCAUUAAUUUCUGCAUGCCACGUUAUAUUUCUACAAAGGAUGCUCGUUUUUUGCGUGGUCGCAAAACAGUCGAGCCUCUGCCCCAUAACGUAGUACCGGGAAGGGUUUAAUUUAUGGCACCCUCAAGUAUUUGUCGCUUUCACUUGCUGCUGCCAAGCCCCAUGGCAACAGGAAAAAAAAAAACCGUUCGAAACUCUCUUACAAUCUUCUCCAAAAUACUCGUGCAACAAUUUACAUUUCACUCUCAAAGGAACAACAAGUGUAAUAUCGGAAAUCAACAUAUCGUCGGUGUGGGAUUUCGCUGGUAGAAAUGAUUCCAGACGUGGAAGCUCAAUGAAUAAGCAAACACACAGCAGCGGUGUGCGAUAGAAACAAAGCGAGAGUACGAGCACUCGUUGGAACGAACUCUUGGCAGGUGCAACUCCUCGUCCCAACGACGAACGCCGACACACGUUGUACGUUGUUCGCCCGCUAGACCUUUCAUGGCUCCUCUCUCAUUCUUUCACGCCGUUUCUAAAAGAUCGUUGGGCCGUGCCAGGGACUUGGUUCGACGUACACAUUUGGUGUGAGGUACUUGGCAGCCUCGCGGUUGUAUACAGCUGGGGACGAAGGCAGAUGGGGAGAGAUAGAGAGAGAAAAGGAGAGAUCGUAUUGGACGUUGACCCGCGUGGUUCAACUGUUGCUCCCAUUCGCGCAUCCGGGAACGCGUGUAAGAAGGCCUGGGGAUCCCGAUGAUAGAAGAGUCUUCUGUUAGCUAGGAGGUCUACCGAGCUCCUCCCUCCGUCCAGUGUUGAAUGCCUGAAGAAUGACAAAGCCAGACGAUUCGCGCGAUUUCUAUAGAGAAAAAUGUUGAUCGUCUGCUCUUCUUUGAUAAGAUCAAGCAGAAUGUAGGUUGAACAUCGAUGGACUUGAGAUUUUUCUCCAUUGUGUUGUAAUGGAGGUGCAUUCUAGGUUAUUAAUCACACAUUCUUUUGAUCUAGUUGUGUAGGAUUAUUAAAAUGACCUGUUAGUACAGCUGUUAAUACAGCUAUAUAGCGCAGUUGUAGAACACUGCCGAUGGCAUAGACGUGUUCUCAUUUGUGUAAAUUAUUUAGAUGUUUUAUGGUUUAUAGAUAGUGGUCGGACACGUAAUAUCAUCCGCUUGAAGAUUAAUGGAAUUUCAUAGCACUUGGCGUCAUCGAUGACGCUUCGAACCCGAGAUAGCGCGUCAAAUUGCCAGCCAUUUAAUUUUUAACUCGCUACAUACAAAGAUACCCUUUACACGAAUCGUCUUCGACGAUUUCAUUUCUUUACUCUGCUCCAACUUAUUUUCCAAAUUCUCAGAAGUACUGCAUCAUAGGAGAAUCAAAAUAAAUAAAAUUUUUCACGAUUUCUUAUGAUUCAGCGAAUUCCCUGAUAGCAGAUUUAUAUGACUUCCUGAGUAUAUGUAGCGGCGAACGUGUAUUUCUUAAAAUAGUUCCAGGGUUACCUGGAAGACCAAGAUGACCAAAUAUUUAAUAACGUCAAUUCCCCAUAGAUCCCCCCCCCCCCGAAGAAAGUUAGUUUGCUGGCCUCAUUCUACUCGAAUCGAUUGCCCCGAGCCCCUCUGACGGUUGAGGAUGGUGUUAAACACAGCGAUUAACACAAUCUUUGAACAUGCUACCGCCAACGGCAACCUGUCACACGGCCGACAAUGGCGUCAUGGCGACGCCGGUAGUCAGCCGGUACGCGGGCGCCGUGGCGCCAGCGUCGCUUAUCCCUUCUCUCUGCCCAGUUCAUCCGCCCAGGCGUUCUUCUCUCGAAACCACGUCCUUCCUGGGUGUGGUUCGAAACAGUGUCGAAGGUUGUGCCCAGCUUCCAUUGUAUCAUUUCGACUUCGUCGUCUUCGUUUUCUUUUUGUCGUAGUCUCAGACGUCGUCUCGUUUCUCCUCUCUUUCAUUCAGGAGGACACACAGUUGCACAGAGUUCGCGUGUACACUCUUUAUACCGAGCGUAUAUAUAACGAACGAAGAGGGAGAGCAUAGUAAGCGAUAGGGAGAAAAAGAGAGAAAGAGAGAGGAGAGAGAGAGAGAGAGAGAGAGAGAGAGAGAGAGAGAGAGCGAAAGAAAAAAAAAAAAGAAAAACAACCGUGCGACGUAGUGUGUUUUUCAGAAACUGCAGUUACGGAAUACCGUCUGAUGAAUGUUUCUCAUACACUUUAGCUAUAUCGCCAUAGAUGUAUCCGUAUACCGCCUGAGAAGAUUUUUCAACAUAGAAAUAAACGAGAAUUGCGCGUAGAAAUCCAAAGGAGACGUGAGAAAUCGCGAAUCGACCAAAACAAAAAAAUCGAUUCGAAAGCGAAGCUGAGCGUGAUUUCUAUGCGAGACUGAAGUCCGUCAAAGACUCCUGUUAUGAUUCCUCUUUUGCAUCCUUCUCUUUUCUUUUUCUCCUAUCGUGCCGCGAAACGUAGUGAGGCAUCUCUAUAUUCAUCAAAAAAAAAAAAAAAAAAAAGAAAAAAAAAAAAAAAAAAAAAAAAAUACAAAAUACGUACCGCUGACAUAUACACAAGUACACACUGAUACACAUAUAUACAUGUAUUCACGAUGCAUUCUAUUCAUUCGACGAUCUGUAUAUAAACGCGUGGAACACGUGCGUGUUCGAGAAAUCGAUCGCGAAAUUUCUCGUGGAACGUGCAUCAGCGAGAAACACUACUUCGACGAUGGACGAUCAAUUGUUAUAAUUCAUUAUCGCGUCGCAAAGAAAAAAAAAAAAAAAAAAACUGAUUCUCCGACCGUCGCAGAGGUGAAAAAGCCUCGGAAUUUUCGCCUUGAGAAGUCAGUUGUGAGAUAAUUAGCGUGCUCGUUUCGAGCGAAGAUAUAUUCGUUUCGAUCUUUUUCGCCUGUGGACACGGUUGAACUGAUGGGGAUCGUCGUCAAAUUUAAUAUUGGAUUUGAAGUCGAAUAAUUUUUUCUACAACUUCAUUCGAAAAUCUCGUGACCGUGAGAUUUUCCGCCGGAGCGACGCACGAAGAAGAAAGAAGAAUAUUCAAUUUGAAGACGAGACAAAUGAAAAAGAAAAAGAAACAGAAAAGAUAACAAUCGGAGGGCCAAGAAACAAGCAUUACGCAUCCUAUUAGUCAGAUCCAUUUCUAUUGAUACUGUUGCGAAUAGUCUUACAUUGUUUAUCUUUAAGAUUUUAACACUGUUUACAAGAUAACGUUUUUCAUAAUAAUUGUUCUCGUAUCUCUUUUGUAGACAUUCUACGACGAAGUACACUUUGUACGAUGAUUUCGUUCGAGACCCUUGCGGGAGAGCAAGCGACUACUGUUUUUCAAUCUCAGUUUCCCGAUGCGAGGUUUUACCACGGGCUCACGUACACAUGAGAAUUGCGAAUGAACAGGGCCAAAGAAAUAGCUAAAAAAAAAAAACACGCAAACAUAUAAUAGGAAGCAUAUAAGAGAAAUUCGAUCGUCUCGAAUUUUCCUCCUUAAUUUAGUACGAAUUUCAAACGCUCGCGUGUAUAUUUCGCGCGGAGAUGUACGUAGAUUUUUACAAUUCCACGUUUCUUUUCUUUUGUACAAAUUGGUUGCUUCGCACAAUGAAAUGCCAUCAGUUUUAACGGGAUUAUUCAGAUUUCUCUUCCUCUUGACAAUAUAUUUUAUAAGCUUCGUUUCUGAGAUCUGCGUGAAGAGAACGGAUUUUUUCUUACCGACUCUCCGACACUCUCGUAACGUUCGAGAAGACGAGUCGUCCUUUCGAGAGUUUCACGAUUUUUUAUCUACUUCAGGCACAUCGCGAGUCGUAGGCACGGCGUAAUUAUCCUUUUUCUGCUGUGGCCGAUCGGAUUUGCAAUCACGUCGAUCCAUUCCCCCGUCAAACUUUGGUAUACUGGUGACAACGAUCGAAGGAGUUUUGCACCAACGAGGAGGCAAUUUCAAUAUUUAAAUAUCGUAUUUAUUGAAAGGGAGAAGGGAAAGUGGAGUAAGUUAGAAUUAUUUGGGUCAGAAAGGUAGUUUGAGUUAUUAAUCAUCGAUCAUUUAUUGUAAUUCAUGAAAUUUGCUUACGAACUAUUUUUUUUCAGCGAUCUGCGUUUGGCUCAAAUAACUCUAUCCUACUACGUAGGUGUUAUUUUUUUUUUUAGUGAAAUGCAGAAUUUGAAUGUGAGGUCUAUAUGAGUUUAUAUAACUAACUAUAUAUAGUUUUUAUAGAUUUAUAUACCUACUCUAUAUAGCUUUCAUAUUCAAAAAGUGCAAACGACUUGAUUUUGAUUGAUCUUGAAUUGGCCGAGUUACUCGAAAUAUAUGUAGAAUUUUGUUCACACGAAAUUGUCCGGGAAUGAAUUCUAAAUAAUCAGAGUUUAUCGAUCCUGCCCUCUGUCAGUGACUUUUUCCUUCACAUAAUGGGAGUUCAGGUUCAAAUAAAUUGAUUGCGAUCAGCAAAAGUUCGUUUGAUUGGCUAAUGACUAAAAUUUAAUUCGUAGCAAAUGAAGUUUGCGCAAACGAGGUUUUGCUCUAUUGAAAAGUUGAAGUUACCUUCUGAUUGCAGCAGACCCUUUGAUUCUCUGUUAUUACAUCAUGAACAUAUAUUUUGCAUACACGCAGCGUUAGCCUGAUUCGAAAGAUUCAUUUUUGCGCUAUUUUUUGAAAGUUGAAUUUCUUCAGUACAAAAUAUCUUGUUGAAUCGUUUGAAAUUUUGUGAGAUGUUUGAUUUAUGAUUAUAAAUACACUUACCGUUCUGUGAUCAACAACGAUCCAACGGGGCAUGUCUUACAUAUCUUCGCGGGGCAUUUAUAUUUUGAUAAACGUUAUUUCUGGAACAUUUUCGUUGAACAUUUCGCACGCAGUGACGCGAAAACAUCAACGCACGAUGACAAUCCUCCUUAAGAGAAAACAAAAGUAACGAUUGUAGUACAAAGGCGAGUGGUAUUCACGAGAGCUUGAGAAAGAACGAGGAAUUUUACGAAUCGUUUGAAUUAUAGCAAUUGGAAGUGAUACGGUGACGUCGUAAUAAUUAAAUUGCGAGAACACUGUCAAAUUUUCAAUUUUUUUACUGGAUUUCUCAUAAUUUGGACGAGAUGUAAAGUACGUAACAAAAUCUGAUUAAAAGUAUAUACACGGUAAAAUAAUUAAACUUAUAAAAAGUUAUUAUUAAAUUUCUCUUCUUUUAUUUUAUGUG